rnacentral:tRNA from 10 species
GGGCGGAUAGCUCAGUUGGGAGAGCAUUGCCCUUACAAGGCAGAGGUCGCAGGUUCGAGCCCUGUUCCGCCUACCA